UACCAGUUUAACAACUCUUUCAUAAUAUCGAGCAAUAAUUUUGCUUACGUCAAAAUAAAGACAGAAGGCAACGAAAUGAACAGGACAAUCGGAAGAUAAUGGAGGUUGACUAGGAAGUCCUCCUUGUCCAUGUUUCCUGUGUGCGUUUGUGGCUAUCGUCGGCUUUCCCGCCGGAACCAAUGACGUCAGAUGAUGACGCCCGCGGAAGACGCCGCUAUCGUGGAGACACACGCGUCGUUGCACGCGUCCACAAGGAAUCCACCGUACCUGCAGACAAAAGUAAAUGGUUCCAGCCGUGAAACAAGUCAUUGCUCCGAUCAUAUGAGCCGCGACAACACGGGCUUCUUGAAAAUUCGCCAGAAUAUCGAGUCCAAAGCAACCUAGAAUGCCGCACCAUGCCGUCACAACAACGAUUUUCUUACUAACGAGAUCGUUGCCCCUUUCGAAUUGCCAUUGGGAAACUUGUCGAUGUCUAAUGUAUACGCAACAGGCGACUAAAAUAUAUGUGCAGUAUCAUUAACCGCGGUAGAUAUACGUUUAAACGUAAAACUAGUUGAUAUUUACGGAGUAAUGCAGCUAUAUUAAGGAAUUGGGCAAAUAUACACGAUUCCGGAGACAAGGUGCCUGUUUCCGAUAUGUACGGAAAUCCUGGUACUACGUGGUCCCAUUGCACCGACAUAGUGUAUCUGAAAUGCAAUUACUUUGAAAAUGGAUGCUCGUAUCUUACAUGUAGAGUGUUGAUUUAGAAAAGGGGAUUAGUUAAACUUUGAUUAUAGUUCAUUU
rnacentral:misc_RNA from 1 species